CUUCAACAGAAGGAGCAACGGUCUUCGACGGUGUAACGGAAUCAACCCCGUACUCUGAACCGGAACUGUAGAGAAAAUGACGUCUCAGCCUCGAGGAAGAGUCC